UCAACUUGAGAGUUUGAUCCUGGCUCAGAACGAACGCUGGCGGCAGGCCUAACACAUGCAAGUCGAGCGAGACCUUCGGGUCUAGCGGCGGACGGGUUAGUAACGCGUGGGAACGUGCCCUUCUCUGCGGAAUAGCCACUGGAAACGGUGAGUAAUACCGCAUACGCCCUUUGGGGGAAAGAUUUAUCGGAGAAGGAUCGGCCCGCGUUAGAUUAGAUAGUUGGUGGGGUAAUGGCCUACCAAGUCUACGAUCUAUAGCUGGUUUUAGAGGAUGAUCAGCAACACUGGGACUGAGACAC
rnacentral:rRNA from 1 species